GACGGGACCGCACAAGCGGUGGAUGAUGUGGAUUAAUUCGAUGCAACGCGAAAACCUUACCUACCUUGACAUGUCUGGAACCUUGCUGAGAGGCGAGGGUGCCUUCGGAGCCAGACACAGGUGCUGCAUGCUGUCGUCAGCUCGUGUCGUGAGAUGUUGGGUUAAGUCCCGCAACGAGCGCAACCCUUGUCAUUAGUUGCCAUCAUUUAGUUGGGCACUCUAAUGAGACUGCCGGUGACAAACCGGAGGAAGGUGGGGAUGACGUCAAGUCCUCAUGGCCCUUAUGGGUAGGGCUUCACACGUCAUACAAUGGUCGGUACAGAGGGUUGCCAAGCCGCGAGGUGGAGCCAAUCCCUUAAAGCCGAUCGUAGUCCGAAUCGUAGUCUGCAACUCGACUACGUGAAGUCGGAAUCGCUAGUAAUCGCAGAUCAGCAUGCUGCGGUGAAUACGUUCCCGGGCCUU
rnacentral:rRNA from 1 species